UACGUAGGGGGCGAGCGUUGUCCGGAUUUAUUGGGCGUAAAGAGCGUGUAGGCGGCCAGGUAGGUCUGCUGUGAAAACUCGAGGCUCAACCUCGAGACGUCGGCGGAAACCAUCUGGCUAGAGUCCGGAAGAGGAGAGUGGAAUUCCUGGUGUAGCGGUGAAAUGCGCAGAUAUCAGGAAGAACACCCGUGGCGAAGGCGGCUCUCUGGGACGGUACUGACGCUGAGGGACGAAAGCUAGGGGAGCGAAUGGG
rnacentral:rRNA from 1 species